rnacentral:tRNA from 1 species
AAUAAAAUGGCUGAGGUUCAGGCGGUGAAUUGUAAAUUCAUUAACGAUGAGAGUCUUUUGUUA